GAGAUGUUGUCUUCGGGCCACAUCUUGUUGCCCUCGGAACCAUUGACGCUCAUUAGAAACAUGUGGAUGUGAUGGAGCCAGGCUGGCCUGGGCUCUUGGACCUGGCCCAGGCAUCGCUGGCCAGUCCCUUCUCAUGGCUUCGGAAACUUCACCUGCAGGUGGCACUCUUAUCUGGGUGAGAAACUAGCAUGUGGGAACCAUACUCAAGACAAGCAGCUCUGAGAAACCACCAAGCACAGGGCUCUUCAAAUCAGGAAGGCAGCAGAUACCCCACUGGUCCCCUUUCCUCCUUAUGGGGGGCAGAUUCUGUAUCCCCAGGAAAGGAAGCUUUCGUUUGGCCAGUUACUCCUGUUUUGUUCAAAAUAAUUUAUUUACGAGCCUUACAAAAAUACAUUGGCAAGAGAAAAAAAAUAAAAGUCCUCUAGGAACAGGC
rnacentral:lncRNA from 1 species